rnacentral:lncRNA from 13 species
CUCUGAGCACUUGGCAGAGCGGGACUGGAGCGAGAGAGAAAGCAGACGUUCCAACAUUUUUUCAAUCCGCUCCACGCUCCAGCCAAAUUCUGCUCCUCUCCAGCUCCACUACUCCACUCACAUCCUCUGAUUCACAUGGCACCAACGGAAACCCUUGUUUUUGUCUUCUGUUGCAAAAUCUUUUGCUAUGUAUUAAUGAACUGUCUUCAUCUGGUGUUCUACCUGGUUUCACCUGGUAUUUUGCUUGGUAUUUCACAUGGUGUUGUACCAGGUAAGCGUGAUCGGUAUCCUGACUACAGUGAGGGCAGCGCGGCUGGAGCGGAGAGCAGACGGUACUCUAACGACUCCACCAAGUCAGAAAGUUUACUUCACAAACCCUGGAGACAGAAAGCCAGGAGCUCGCCCACCCCUGCAUACCCACCGAACAUAGACCGACUGCCACAGGGUCUCAGACACAGAGAAAGUAGUAGUAGCUGGCUGUGCCAGAGCCCCUACAUUGGCGUCCCCUCAAAGGGCGCACCCCAAUCCCCCAGCCCCUCCAUCACUUUCAGCGACUCCUCAGCCAGCCUCACCCAGAGGAAAGCCAAGGUAAGUCUGUCUGUCCAUCCGUACCUACAGCCAUACCUACAUCCAUCCGUCUGUCC